rnacentral:rRNA from 1 species
UACGGAGGGUGCAAGCGUUGUCCGGAUUUAUUGGGUUUAAAGGGUGCGUAGGCGGCCCUGUAAGUCAGUGGUGAAAUUCUUGAGCUUAACUGAAGGAUUGCCAUUGAUACUGUAGGGCUUGAGUACAGAUGAGGUAGGCGGAAUUGAUGGUGUAGCGGUGAAAUGCAUAGAUACCAUCAAGAACACCGAUUGCGAAGGCAGCUUACUAAGCUGUAACUGACGCUCAGGCACGAAAGCGUGGGGAGCAAACAGG